GACGAACGCUGGCGGUGUGCUUAACACAUGCAAGUCGAACGGUAAGGCCCUUUCGGGGGUACACGAGUGGCGAACGGGUGAGUAACACGUGAGUAACCUGCCCUCAUCUCUGGGAUAACAGUCGGAAACGGUUGCUAAUACUGGAUAUGAGCCUGCAAGGCAUCUUGUGGGUUGGAAAGAUUUUUUGGUUGGGGAUGGACUCGCGGCCUAUCAGCUUGUUGGUGAGGUAGUGGCUCACCAAGGCUUCGACGGGUAGCCGGCCUGAGAGGGCGACCGGCCACAUUGGGACUGAGAUACGGCCCAAACUCCUACGGGAGGCAGCAGUGGGGAAUAUUGCACAAUGGACGGAAGUCUGAUGCAGCAACGCCGCGUGCGGGAUGACGGCCUUCGGGUCGUAAACCGCUUUCAAUUGUGACGAAGCUUUUUGUGA
rnacentral:rRNA from 2 species